AAAUGAAUUGACGGGGGCCCGCACAAGCGGAGGAACAUGUGGUUUAAUUCGAUGAUACGCGAGGAACCUUACCCGGGCUUGAAAUAUACCUGACCGACCUUGAAAGAGGUUUUCUAGCAAUAGCAGGUAUGUAGGUGCUGCAUGGUUGUCGUCAGCUCGUGCCGUGAGGUGUCGGCUUAAGUGCCAUAACGAGCGCAACCCUCAUCGUUAGUUACUAACAGGUUAAGCUGAGGACUCUAGCGAGACUGCCAUCGUAAGAUGUGAGGAAGGUGGGGAUGACGUCAAAUCAGCACGGCCCUUACGUCCGGGGCGACACACGUGUUACAAUGGAUGGGACAGCGGGAAGCUACCUUGCGAGAGGAUGCUAAUCUCCAAACCCAUUCCCAGUUCGGAUUGGAGUCUGCAACUCGACUCCAUGAAGCUGGAUUCGCUAGUAAUCGCGCAUCAGCCAUGGCGCGGUGAAUACGUUCCCGGGCCUUGUACACACCGCCCGU
rnacentral:rRNA from 1 species